rnacentral:rRNA from 1 species
CGGGGAAUAUUGGACAAUGGGCGAAAGCCUGAUCCAGCCAUGCCGCGUGUGUGAAGAAGGUCUUCGGAUUGUAAAGCACUUUAAGUUGGGAGGAAGGGCAGUAAGCGAAUACCUUGCUGUUUUGACGUUACCGACAGAAUAAGCACCGGCUAACUCUGUGCCAGCAGCCGCGGUAAUACAGAGGGUGCAAGCGUUAAUCGGAAUUACUGGGCGUAAAGCGCGCGUAGGUGGUUCGUUAAGUUGAAUGUGAAAGCCCCGGGCUCAACCUGGGAACUGCAUCCAAAACUGGCGAGCUAGAGUAGGGCAGAGGGUGGUGGAAUUUCCUGUGUAGCGGUGAAAUGCGUAGAUAUAGGAAGGAACACCAGUGGCGAAGGCGACCACCUGGGCUCAUACUGACACUGAGGUGCGAAAGCGUGGGGAGCAAACAGG